rnacentral:rRNA from 1 species
UACAGAGGUCCCGAGCGUUGUUCGGAUUUAUUGGGCGUAAAGGGUGCGUAGGCGGCGGAGUAAGUUGGGUGUGAAAUCCCGAGGCUCAACCUCGGAAUUGCAUUCAAUACUGCUUCGCUCGAGUACUGGAGAGGAGGCUGGAAUUUACGGUGUAGCAGUGAAAUGCGUAGAUAUCGUAAGGAAGGCCGGUGGCGAAAGCGAGCCUCUGGACAGUUACUGACGCUGAGACGCGAAAGCCAGGGGAGCAAACGGG